AGCGAACGCUGGCGGCAGGCUUAACACAUGCAAGUCGAGCGGGCACUUUCGGGUGUCAGCGGCGGACGGGUGCGUAACGCGUGGGAACGUGCCCUCUGGUUCGGAAUAACUCAGGGAAACUUGAGCUAAUACCGGAUACGCCCUUUUGGGGAAAGGCUUGCUGCCGGAGGAUCGGCCCGCGUCUGAUUAGCUAGUUGGUGAGGUAACGGCUCACCAAGGCGACGAUCAGUAGCUGGUCUGAGAGGAUGAUCAGCCACACUGGGACUGAGACACGGCCCAGACUCCUACGGGAGGCAGCAGUGGGGAAUAUUGGACAAUGGGCGCAAGCCUGAUCCAGCCAUGCCGCGUGAGUGAUGAAGGCCUUAGGGUUGUAAAGCUCUUUUAUCCGGGGCGAUAAUGACGGUACCGGAGGAAUAAGCCCCGGCUAACUUCGUG
rnacentral:rRNA from 1 species